GCGGCGCUGCAGGGGGGUCUCCCCAGAGCGGAGAAGAGGGGAGAAUUACCUAAUUUUGCUUAAUUCACAUUCCAAAUGCAGCGACCCCACUCUCCCAGCCCCGAUGAUAGGGCACAGAAAGCAUUGCUUUCCCCUGCACCUCUUGUUCCUGUCUUCAUUUUCAAAAGUUUGGCUUGGGGAGCUGGAAAAAAGGGCACAAAGCCACCAAAAAGUGGAUCUAGACAUGCAUUAAAAGCAAGGCAGAAAACAAAAAAAUCCAUCAGUUAAUGGGAAGAGGGCAGAGAAAUAACUGACACAGUGAAAGCCAUUCAGAAGAGUGAUGCCUUGGUGUUUACCAAAAACAAACUGUGAUCGGGUACUUUAAGAAACAGGAGUGCAGAAACAAGAAGCAAAUAAAGACGGCACAAAAAGUGCAAAGGAAAGGUAUUUCAGAAGAACUCUCUCGAAUAUCGUUUCUCAUCCAUAUGGAUGAUCUGUCUUGCCUGGUUUCUACGUACAGCGAAUGCAAGGCUGUGGGUUUCACACGAUGCGCGUACAGUGAAUAGGUUUUAUGAUAGGAUUUAUAAAAUUUGUGAGUUGCACAGUGGUAUAAAUAGAUGAAAGGCCAUUUAAGCUAAAAGGAAUGUACAAAGUUCAGGAAUACAAUAGACCGUAAAUGGAAAGACCUCUCCAGGGACAUGGCCAAGAGCCGGUCGAUGCCUCUGCAUGGUGUGCCGAGAGCCAGUCUGGGCGAAGAUGGGAGUCGUUCAAGCCAUAUUGGGUAUAAAUCCAGAAGAUGUGUUCCUGCUGGUAGCAACCCCUGGGAAGAGGCUUUGAAUAAAGGAAGAUGGAAGAUGGAGAGGCUGUCCGGGGAUGUGAGACGGAGAGAGGCGGCUUUAGAAAGCUGGUGGAAUCCUCCUUGGGGAACACUUGUCCUUCAGCAAUUUUCUGAGCUCCCUGAAGUCAUCUAUAAUCUGGGAUGGUAAUGGCAGGAUUGACAGGCAAAAAUCUAUCCGUGCGGGGUAUUCCAUCUUCCUUGGGAGAAAUGUGAAUGUACUUAUUUUCUUACAAAUCAGGCUGAGCACCUCGCCAUGAACAUGUUCUGUUCCUUCUUCUUGGCUAGCUGAAUCCUCAAACACAUACCCGCAGUCUCCAAGCCUCCCAUCUGCUGCACCUAUCUGCCUUCCAAGACUUUCACCAGGCAACUGUUUCAAUACAAGAAUCCUUACUUUGCAAAGUGUUACAGCCGGUACUGCAUCUUUAGCUCAAAAUUUAGUUUUACACCAUCAAUUAGGGUGCCUUUCCAGGUGCUACACGGCACUUAGGGUUGCCCACAGAGCAGGCAGAGCGGACAUGGGACCUACAGGCCACCCAGAGCCUUCCAGAGCAGCAGCUGGAGGCCAGGCUGAAGGCAGCAGGGCAGCUCGAAGGGCAUCAGAUGCCCAGGAGCAGGCAAGCAAACCCAGCCCACGCUAAAGCACAACACCGGCGGCGAGUAUGCAUUGUCUCCACUUACUUCUAUGCAGUUUUGUUUGAUGUGUCGUGACAAGGACUUUGUCUUCGUACACAUUUGUAUAGCACCUAAUGCAGAAUCCCCAGUCUCAGCCCUCCUGAAGUCCACUAUUAUGUACAAAUUCCAAAGAGAAUGACAAAAAGUGGGACUUGAAACUAUGAUUCAUUAGCCAAUUUAAGCUGGAAUAAUCAAGGUAUGUCAAGAGGUCAUACCAAGUAGUUUUUAAGAUUUUGCAGAUUUCAAGUGAUUUAAUUCAAUACAUCAGCUUACCCAGCGUUUGAUAACAGAAUGACAGAAUAGUUGAGGUUGGCAAAGACCUCUGGAGACCAAACCCCUCUGCUCAAGCAGGGUCACCAGCAGCAGGCUGGCCAAGUCCACGUCCAGUUGGGUUUUGACUAUCUCUGUUGCUGGGAGACUCCACAACGUCCCUGGGCAGCCUGUGCCAGUGCUUGGUCACCCUCACAGUAAAAGGGUUUUUUCUUACGGGAAGUGAAACUUCUUGUGUUUUGGUUUGUGCCCGUUGCCUACCCUCUCCUGUCACUGGGCACCGCUGAGAAGAGCCUGGCUCUGCAGCCUUCACUGCCUCCUCUCUGGGAGGGAGCACGAAAACGGUCCGAGGGCUGGAACACCUCUGGUGUGGGGAAAGGCUGAAGGAGUUGGGGUUGCUCCGCCUGGGGAAGCGACAGCUGCGGGGAGACUUUAUUGCGGCCUUUUUACCAGGCCCUGUAGUAACAGGACGAGGGGCAAUGGUUUUAAACUGAAAGAAAGUAGGUUUAGAGUGGACGUAAGGUAGAAAUGUUUUACGAUGAGGGUGGUGAGACACUGGAAGAGGCUGCUCAGGGAAGCUGUGGAUGCCCCAUCAUUGCAAGUGUUCAAGGUGAGGUUAGACGGGGCUCUGAGCAACCUGAUCUAGUGCAAGAUGUCCCUGCCCAUGGCUGGGGUGCUGGACUAGGUGAUCUUUAAAGGUCCCUUCCAACCUAAACCUUUCCGUGAUUCUAAGAUCACCUUCAGGAAUCCUAUGCCCCUGAGAUGCGGGGGGAAGUCUGGAGCAAGGAAGACCCACCCUCGUUGGAGGGAGGAUCAGGUUAGGGAACAUUUAAACAAACUAGACAUACACAAGUCCUUGAGACCUAAUGGGUUGCACCCAUGAGCGCCGAGGGAGCCGGCCAGCAUCAUUGUGAGGCCACUCUUGAUUACCUUUGAAAGGGCAUCGUGAUUGGGAGAGGUUCUUGAGGCCCAGAAGAAAGCAAAUGUCACUCCUCCCUUCAAAAAGGGCAAGGAGGAGGUACGACAGGGCCAGCCCCACCUCGAACCCUGGGAAGGUGACGGAGCAACUAUUCCUGGAAACCACUUCUAGGCAAGGACAAGAUGGUGCUCGGGAGGUAGUCAGCCUGGAUGUAUGAAAAGGAGCGCAUGCUUAGCCAACGUUGUAGUCUUCUGUGAUGAGGUGACUGGCUCAGUGGAUGAGUGGAGAGCAGUGGAUGUUAUUUCGAUCAGUGAACGGUCAAGAAGAUCAUUAAGUGACUGGAGUAUCUGACGUACAAGAGGAGGCUGAGAGGGCUGGGACUGUUCAGCCUGGAGACAAGAAGGCUUGGCGGGAUUUUACCAAUGUGUUUAACUACCUGGUGGAAGACACUACAGAAGACAGAGCCAGGCUCUCCUCAGCGGUGCCGAGUGAUGGGACAAGAGAAAAUGGGUACAAAUUGAAAUACAAGAAGUUCCAUCUAUCUCCCUUUCUACUGUCAGGGUGGUCAAGCACUGACACAGGUUGCCCAGAGAAGCUGCAGAGUCUCCAACCUUGGAGACAGUCAAAACCCAACUGGACAGAGUCCUGGGCAACGUGCUGCUGGUGACCCUGCUUCGAGCAGGGGUUGGGGCUCCAGAAGUCCCUGCCAACCUCAGCCAUACUGUGAUUAUCCAAUAAGCCUCACUAAUGUCAAGAUAAACCACAUCCAGUGCUCCCUCUCUGCACGUAGAAGGUCUGUAAUGGAUCAACUACCUCUGAUUUCCACACUAUUAGCCCAACCUACAACACAAGUGGCUAAUUACCUUCACAGCUUUUAAGCCCAGCACAGACAUCUAGUGCUGCUUAAGGACAAGCUUAAGCCUAGGCGAGAAAUGCAGCAGAAAUACCGUUCAAGAUUACAGCUUGUUUUAGCUUCACCUCGUCAGGUGUUAACUCAACCGCUCUACAGCCUUACAUCCAAUUUGACCGUGGCGAGGUCUAUGGUAUGAAACACGAUCAGAGCAAAGCACAAGUAGGCGUUAGUCUAGCCCAAUUUAGCGUGCCCAUGACAAAGCCAUACUCAGGGUGUACAAGGUGAAACUCAGGUCCAGGUGUCUGUCCACAUUUGGGGGGCACACCCCACGUUUCUCAGUGCUAAGACCCUCCACGAUUCUCUCCAAGACAAUUCCAGAGCUUUAGGAAGUUCAGGCAGGCAAAUAACAACCAACAUAAUGAUCAUGUGCCUUGCUGCAAAAUAUACACAUCUCAGAUAAUUCAGAACAAUCAGAGAAUUAAAAUUAAUCUUUUUUAAAAAAAAAACAACGAAACAAAACAAAGAAAAAAAAGCCAAGCCACUGCAUAAGCAUUCCUGCAGUGUGGCUGGAUAUUCUCAUUCAAGCUAGGUUGGACCAAGCUGAGUAUAUUUAAGCAUGACUGACACCACUGCCUUGGAGCAGCGAUCAACUCAGGGAGUUUCUGUUGUCCCUCCUCCGGCUGGGCCAGGGAGGAGGAACCGCUCCCAGCCGUUUGGCUCAGCUCCCUCCGGACAGCCCGUCUGUUCAUUGAUUCAGCAAAUCCUUCUGCGCGAAGGCUUCCCAAUUUGCUUCCAGCAAAGGUUAGCGGGGUUAGUUCAAACCACCAAUUUAAGCUGUUUAAGCUCAUCCUGCCAAUUUUUCCCGCAGCAAAUUAGAGGGCGCUGACACAAGCAUGAACCGGGAGACCAGUAACACGCUCAAAAAGGAACGGCGAGGGCACGGCUGGAUGGCUAAAAGGACAUUUAUCCGUAGCUUAAAGCCUUGUCUGCUCUACAGGGCUCCCCACCAGCGCUGCUACGUCGGUGAAGCGCUCGCGUAGGUGCAGCGUAGGCGGCCGAGCUCUGCCAGCGCUGCCGCAUCGCCUCUCCGACCAACACACACCGUGGCACCGGCAGAAGAUCCCGGCGAACCGGGAGUUUUGACAGCAGCAAGGUGGGCAUCGUCCGCAGCGCCUCGGCUCCCGCCGGGAAAGAGCAACACCGCCGGCUUAAACGAGGAUUUAUUUUAAAUGGAAGGCAGGGAAUAGUUUUCUAGGAGUUGAGGAAGGCUGCCGGCUUUCAAGACGGGGAGGAAACACAUGACAAAAAGCCAUGAACUCAAAAACGAUGGACUUUUUCUUAUGUCAACAAGGGACUCUGACUUCCCACGGCGCAAAAGCUUUCCUCUCUCUCGGCGCGGCAGCAACCCAGCCCUUCCGACGGCAGCACCGCUGCAACUGUUUGCUUUUUGGGCAACAUUAUUAUAAAAAUAAUCAGCCGUUUGCCAUUUAGGGAUUCAAGCAGGCGCUCAAAGGGGACGCCAGAGCUGCCCCACAUGGGGUGUUUUGUUAAAACCUGUAGGCAAGUGUGGGGCCGAGAACGGGGCGAGCUGCUGCUUGCAGCCCGCUGCCGCCCAGCCUUCGCACCUCCCCAGCCCGCCAUCUCGCCGGUGCUCCACGGAGGGGUGCACCGUCCCGCUGCCCCCCAUCCUGCCACCCCUGAGGCUGUCGGCGAGGGGGCUGAGCCCAGGCGCACUCGCUGCAUGGAGGAGACGUUGAUCUGGCUACGGCGAGGUGGAAAAACUUAUCAUUCCCCACCUCCCCGCUCCGGGCUACCCCUCCAAGGCCCA